rnacentral:rRNA from 1 species
UACGUAGGGUGCAAGCGUUAAUCGGAAUUACUGGGCGUAAAGCGUGCGCAGGCGGUUGUGCAAGACAGAUGUGAAAUCCCCGGGCUCAACCUGGGAAUUGCAUUUGUGACUGCACGGCUAGAGUGUGUCAGAGGGGGGGGUAGAAUUCCACGUGUAGCAGUGAAAUGCGUAGAGAUGUGGAGGAAUACCAAUGGCGAAGGCAGCCCCCUGGCCUAACACUGACGCUCAUGCACGAAAGCGUGGGGGAGCAAACAGG